rnacentral:rRNA from 1 species
GAUGAACGCUAGCUACAGGCUUAACACAUGCAAGUCGAGGGGCAGCAUGGUCUUAGCUUGCUAAGGCCGAUGGCGACCGGCGCACGGGUGAGUAACACGUAUCCAACCUGCCGUCUACUCUUGGACAGCCUUCUGAAAGGAAGAUUAAUACAAGAUGGCAUCAUGAGUCCGCAUGUUCACAUGAUUAAAGGUAUUCCGGUAGACGAUGGGGAUGCGUUCCAUUAGAUAGUAGGCGGGGUAACGGCCCACCUAGUCUUCGAUGGAUAGGGGUUCUGAGAGGAAGGUCACCACAUUGGAACUGAGACACGGUCCAAACUCCUACGGGAGGCAGCAGUGAGGAAUAUUGGUCAAUGGGCGAGAGCCUGAACCAGCCAAGUAGCGUGAAGGAUGACUGCCCUAUGGGUUGUAAACUUCUUUUAUAAAGGAAUAAAGUCGGGUAUGGAUACCCGUUUGCAUGUACUUUAUGAAUAAGGAUCGGCUAACUCCGUG